rnacentral:rRNA from 1 species
ACGCUCGACACCUACGGAGGCAGCAGUGAGGAAUAUUGGUCAAUGGGCGCAGGCCUGAACCAGCCAAGUAGCGUGAAGGAUGACUGCCCUAUGGGUUGUAAACUUCUUUUAUAUGGGAAUAAAGUUUUCCACGUGUGGAAUUUUGUAUGUACCAUAUGAAUAAGGAUCGGCUAACUCCGUGCUAGCAGCCGCGGUAAUCUGAGCGGGCUGGCAAGGC